rnacentral:lncRNA from 1 species
AUGAAACCAACUAUGCAGACAAAACAGCAAAACUUUCUGUUUGGGGAAACACAUCCUUUGCCGGGGAGCCCUGCCCGGGGCUGGGGCUCCAGCGGUGCCCGGCCGGGCUGGCUCUGCAAGCUCAGGGCAUGCAAAGCAUUAACAGUUUUGGCCAGAAAUGGUGAGAAGAAAAAGCAUGAAGAAGCCGCGAAGUGGAGGAGAAAAGGUGAAGGGAGAUGCAGCUCCUGGAGAAAUUGUAAAAAGCCUUGCAAAGAGUUGUCGGAAGGACCGUUAUUCCUGCUGGGCAGGUUAGGACUGAUCUCUUUCUGCCACUCCAGGAAACACAAACCUGGGGACGGACUGACGUGUUACGCCUCUUCUAAUGACAUUUUUUUCUUUUUCUUUUCUGUACGAGCGAGAGGAGAGACCCUGCAACACACGCCACCUAUCUUUGUGGGGAGGGAUAAUUGGAGAGCACCAAACAUAUGGAUCAGGGGUGAGAUGGGCUCUUUUCCUGGCUCUGCUUUUUCUUGGAAGUAGCUGGAUGAGCAGAGAGAGACAGCGUGGACGAGUAACGCGUGGGGCUGAACUUCAGGGAGGUUACAAGUUUUUCACUUUUUUCAAGUAUUAAAAUUAAAAUAAAAUUGCAUAUAGAAAAAAAAAAAAAAAAAGA